UAGCAUCGAAAAGGGUGUUAGGCAGGGAUGUGUAGCGUCACCGUGGCUGUUUAAUCUGUUCAUGGACAGUAGUUUGCAUGAUUUGAGAAAUGAUGAAUGUGGGCUGAGAAUGAGUGGGUUACCUGUCAAAUGUCUUCUUUACGCUGAUGACCUGGUAUUGGUAGCGUCAUCGGGUGAAGAGUUGCAGGAGAUGGUAACUAGAAUGCAUGGAUCUUUUGAAAGGAAAGGAAUGAAAAUAAAUGUAAGUAAGACGAAAGUUAUGGUAUUUGAAAAGGAGGAAUAUAUGACAAACUGUGAAAUUUUGAUUGGUCAAGAAAGAGUAGAACAAGUGAAAGAGUUUGUAGUUUGUGUAUCUGGGAACAUUAUUCACUAGGGACGGUAAACAUGAUAAAGAUAUUGAAAGGAGAGUGAGUGCUGGAAAUCGCGUGAAUGGAGCACUUAACGCUUUUAUGAGCAGCCAGAAGGUGUCGCAAAAGGCACGUUUGGCUGUGCAUAGAGGGGUGCUGGUGCCUACACUUAUGUAUGGUAGCGAAAGUUGGGUAUGGCAGAAGAGGCAUCAGAGCCAAGUGAAUGCAGUGGAAAUGAGAGCGUUGAGAAGUGUGUGUGGUGUGAGAUUACAAGAUAGAAUUAGGAACAGUGUGAUAAGGGAAAAGUGUG